UACCGUACGUACAUUUCUGCUGUCACAAAAUAAUUCCAGCAUAAAUUUAAGUAUGUAGGACG
ensembl:miRNA